rnacentral:rRNA from 1 species
UGUCUAAGUAUAAGCAAUUAUACCGUGAAACUGCGAAUGGCUCAUUAAAUCAGUUAUCGUUUAUUUGAUAGUACCUUACUACUUGGAUAACCGUGGUAAUUCUAGAGCUAAUACAUGCUGAAAACCCCAACUUCGGGAGGGGUGUAUUUAUUAGAUAAAAAACCAACGCCCUUCGGGGCUUCUUGGUGAUUCAUGAUAACUUUACGGAUCGCAUGGCCUUGCGCCGGCGACGGUUCAUUCAAAUUUCUGCCCUAUCAACUUUCGAUGGUAAGGUAUUGGCUUACCAUGGUUUCAACGGGUAACGGGGAAUUAGGGUUCGAUUCCGGAGAGGGAGCCUGAGAAACGGCUACCACAUCCAAGGAAGGCAGCAGGCGCGCAAAUUACCCAAUCCCGACACGGGGAGGUAGUGACAAUAAAUACUGAUACAGGGCUCUUUUGGGUCUUGUAAUUGGAAUGAGUACAAUUUAAACCUCUUAAC